rnacentral:rRNA from 1 species
GAGUAACACGUAUCCAACCUGCCGUCUACUCUUGGACAGCCUUCUGAAAGGAAGAUUAAUACAAGAUGGCAUCAUGAGUCCGCAUGUUCACAUGAUUAAAGGUAUUCCGGUAGACGAUGGGGAUGCGUUCCAUUAGAUAGUAGGCGGGGUAACGGGCCCACCUAGUCUUCGAUGGAUAGGGGUUCUGAGAGGAAGGUCCCCCACAUUGGAACUGAGACACGGUCCAAACUCCUACGGGAGGCAGCAUG